UUAAAUUAUGCAUUAAUUGAAGUUUGGAGUCAUUUUAAAAUGUGUCUUUUCAGAACCGCAUCUGACACUUGCGACGGUCGGGAGGUGGGAGACGGCCAGGCGAGGUGUGGUGGUGGUGUAGCGGUGUGUGACUGUCUUCUGAAUAAAUGAAAACUAUGUGACACAGGCUCUUUUAUGCAGCUUACCCACAGUGACUGCUGGAGACAGACACCAGCUCCCAUAGCAACUCUGAACAGAUAAGGCUGGACUAUUUCAAAGCAUUUCUCUCACUGAGCUCACUGCUUGGACUCCAAGAAGAAGUCUGCCUUUCAUUUAUCUGCUUUUAUACUCAACGGGCCUCAGAUCACCUGCCUCACACCUGCUGAUAGGUGUUAACAAACUCAUCAAACACCAAUCAGAUUUCAGCUGACUGCCUGCCUUGUUAACAACUUCCUGGAAAAAAGUGCUCACUGUACCUGAACUCACCUGCUGCCAGUCAGGUUUCAGAGUCAAGCUUGUCUCAUACAUGAACAGAUCCUUCUCGCAGUCAAAAGGGUAGUGGCCCCUGCUGAAAACUGGUUGGCCUUGAAGGCCCUUGUCCAGUCACUGCUGACUCUUCUAUUUCAAAUGUAUGUAAAUUAAGCAAUUUCUAAUAAAUAGGCAGGACUUUUAGAUACCAAGGAUAACUCAGCAAUCAGCAUGCUUACUAGUAUUUUGCACUGCAGUGGCAAGCUGUUACUGAUUUACAGCAUAUCAGCCUACACAGAUGAAGUGGAGCAGCUGACAGCGUGGUGCACAGACAACAAAUUGSUCCUGAACACAGCUUAGACCAAGAAGCUUGUUGUGGAGUUCGGGAAAAAGGAAAUCCAACCACAUAUCCAAAGGGACUGUGUGAGAGUGUGUCAGACUUCAGUUUCAUGGGGAGUCCGCAUCACAGAAGACUUAAACUGGGGAGCAAAUACAGGAGAGCUGGUGAAGAAAGCCCAGCAAAAACCAUAUUUCCUGAGAAUUCUCAGAAUAACAUUUCUCAGCUGGUGUACUUCUUUUGCUGCUCUAUACAGAGUGCCCUGUGCUACUGCCKCUGUGUGUGGUUGUCCAGCUGCACAGUUGCACAAAGGGAAAACACUUCAGAGGAUCAUUAAGACUGCCCAGGAGAUCACUGGAUGCUCUUUGCCCUCUCUUGAAGAACUGCAGCUCCCACUGCUUCAGGAAAACCAGAAACAUUUUAAAAGAUUCCCCGUGUUCCAAUCACAGCCAUCAGACAGGAGGUACAAGAAACAACRACAAAUAGACCUAACAGCUUUUAUCCCACAGCUAUCAGGGUAAUACAUGUCACAUAGAAUCUUUAAUGUAAUGUAUGCACAAUAACCAUGUGCAAUCAUUUCUUCACGCACAAAAUGGRCUCUGCCACAUGACUGUUUUGUAUCUUGUGAAGUUGUUUUUCUCCUUACAUUUUAU